UACAGAGGUCUCAAGCGUUGUUCGGAUUCAUUGGGCGUAAAGGGUGCGUAGGCGGCGCGGUAAGUCGGGUGUGAAAUCUCGGAGCUUAACUCCGAAACUGCAUUCGAUACUGCCGUGCUUGAGGACUGGAGAGGAGACUGGAAUUUACGGUGUAGCGGUGAAAUGCGUAGAUAUCAGGAGGAACACCGAUGACGAAGGCAGGUCUCUGGGCAUUAACUGACGCUGAGGAGCGAAAGCAUGGGGAGCGAACAGG
rnacentral:rRNA from 1 species